rnacentral:rRNA from 1 species
UAAGGAAUAUUGGUCAAUGGACGGAAGUCUGAACCAGCCAUGCCGCGUGGAGGAUGAAGGUCCUCUGGAUUGUAAACUUCUUUUAUAGGGGGCGAAAAAAGGGAAUUCUUUCUCGUCUGACGGUACCCUAUGAAUAAGCACCGGCUAACUCCGUGCCAGCAGCCGCGGUAAUACGGAGGGUGCAAGCGUUAUCCGGAUUCACUGGGUUUAAAGGGAGCGUAGGCGGGCAUGUAAGUCAGUGGUGAAAGCCCUCAGCUUAACUGAGGAACUGCCAUUGAUACUAUAUGUCUUGAAUGUCGUUGAGGUUUGCGGAAUAGGUCAUGUAGCGGUGAAAUGCUUAGAUAUGACCUAGAACACCUAUUGCGAAGGCAGCAGGCUAAACGAAUAUUGACGCUGAGGC